rnacentral:tRNA from 1 species
GGGCGAUUAGCUCAGUUGGUUAGAGUGCUACGUUGACAUCGUAGAGGUCACAAGUUCGAGUCUUGUAUCGCCCACCU